CUCCCCUUCGUUCCCACGCAAAAAACCAGAAACCCUUCACUGCUAUUUCGUCGUUCUUCGUCCAGAGAGAAGUGCUGAAGGACUCGCCACCGCACCACCACUCCAACUCUCGUCGGAAGCAAAACCACCGCACCCCUGCACCACCGCAACACCGCACUCCAACUCUCGUCGGCAACAACCAAAACCCCCUCUUUUUCUCGCCGAUCUGCAUGUUUAUGUUUCUUCCCCAACCCCCUCUUUCUCCCGUUGGGUUGCAUUUUCUGUUUUUGUUUAUGAUUGAGGGGUUGUAUUUAAGCAAAACCCAAGUUUUCUACCCCUAAAACCCACAAUAUUUUCUCCCAAAUCCUCCGGAAAAACGGCAAGGCUUCUUCGGAAAACGGCAUGGCUUCUUCGCAGGAUUCAGUCUGAGAGCAGCAAUUGCAGUUGGUUAAGGAGAAAAUGGAACAGCAGCCCCGUGGUAAUUACUGGAGCAGAGGUUGAUGAGUAUCGCUUGUCUAGAUGACAUUGAUUCAAGUUUGGUUUUUAUGUAUACACCCAUAACAGAAGAAGGUGUCAAAGGAGAACCUCAACAUAAAUACACAGAUUUUGUAAAAGCAGAUUGCAGAGUGCUCUUGCUAACCAGAUAUACUCUUGGAUUGGUGUUCUAAAGUUGCGGAAUUGCUGCCUCUUCAUGGACCAAUGCAAAUUCCAGGACUUGCUUGGCAACUUGUUUGUGUUUUUUCAGUAAAUUUGUAAGAAGCCCAGAAAAGAUGGCUCAAAGAAAGGCAGUUUACAGCACCUAAACAAAGGAAUACAACAGCACAAUGAGCUGGGGCAGAGAUCCUGAAAGUGAUGAUCUUAUGUUUACUUUUGCUACUGGUUUUCUUAUCUGAAACCCAAAAAAUAACUCUCUUUUUGUGGAGGAUUUUAAAAGGGAACAUAAUUCCUCGUAGUAGUUCUUUUGAUUCUGCACUAUGGAGGAAACAAAAUCCACCAACUAAAUUGCAUGA